rnacentral:rRNA from 1 species
AGAUUGAACGCUGGCGGCGUGCUUAACACAUGCAAGUCGAGCGGUAACGCGGGAGCAAUCCUGGCGACGAGCGGCGAACGGGUGAGUAAUGCUUGGGAAUCUGCCCAUUAGUGGGGAACAACCAGCCGAAAGGUUGGCUAAUACCGCAUACGCCCUACGGGGGAAAGCGGGGGAUCGAAAGACCUCGCGCUAAUGGAUGAGCCCAAGUCGGAUUAGCUUGUUGGUAGGGUAACGGCCUACCAAGGCGACAAUCCGUAGCUGGUCUGAGAGGACGACCAGCCACACUGGGACUGAGACACGGCCCAGACUCCUACGGGAGGCAGCAGUGGGGGAAUAUUGGACAAUGGGGGCAACCCUGAUCCAGCGACGCCGCGUGUGUGAAGAAGGCCUGCGGGUUGUAAAGCACUUUUAGUGGGGAUGAAAAGCUCAGGGUUAACACCUCUGGGUCUUGACCUAACCACAGAAAAGCACCGGCUAACUCUGCGCCAGCAGCCG